GGAGAACACCAUGUAAAGGUGACAGCAGAGGUUGGGAUAAUACAUUAAGGAAUGCCAAAGGUUGCCGGAAAGUCACCAGAAGGUAGGAGAGGGGUAUUGAACUUAUUCUCCCUCACAGUCGAGAAGAAACCAAUCCUGCUGACACCUUGAUCUCAGACUACCAGCCUCCAGAAUUGUGAGGCUAGAUCACAAAACCUUUGUGUUUAUGACAUAGUUUAUGACACUAUGCUAUGACAUAGCAUAGAAAACGAACGUAUCCACAACAACCAUGGAAUGGAGCUUCUCCCUUGCAAUGGCCUAGAAAAGACAUGAGAAGAGGAUCUAAAAGGUCACAAUAAUAUAGAGCCAUGAGACAGAUAGGGGGAAGACAAAGAGAUGCAGGAAAGGAGGCCAUGUGAAGAUGGAGGCAGAGACUGGAGUCACGCUGCCAGAAGCCAAGACCACUUGGUACCACCAGAAGCUGGAAGAGGAAAGGAAGGAUUCUCCCCUAGAGCUUUCAAAGAGAGCGUAGCCCUGCUGACAUCUUGAUUUUGGACUUCUGGCCUUCAAAACUGUCAUAAGAUCCUUGAUGGCAAGACCAAUGUUAUUCUCAUCUUUGUAUUCUACAGCAUUCAGAAUAAAGAAGUUUGCACAUAGCAGAUGCUAAAUAAAAUUUUUGAAUGAAC
rnacentral:lncRNA from 1 species